GGACAACGGCGCCGUUCACGAACCGUUUGCAGCUUUAACUUUUUCAUGUCUGUGUGCGAAUAGCCGUCAUGUGUUUUGUAAUCGGUCAGUUAUAAAUCAGAUUGCAGGUAGAUGAUGGUGCUAAUUGGAGUUUUGUAGCUACGGUUCAAAUGCCAGUUGAUUUGUAAGCAUGGUUUUUCACCUCAUCAACUUAUGAAGUUGUCAUCUUCUGAACUAAAACGGCUAACUGCAAAAUAAAAGAAGGAAAGAAAAACAAAUCAACUGUUUGGUCAGUGAGUGGAGUCCAGCUCAAGCACAGCAGAUCCUCCAUACCUGGACAGAAAUACCCACAGAGUCAACCACAGGAAUGAAUGACAAACAUCUGCUGCAGCUGUGCGUCACUGCGUUUCUGCUCGACUCUCAGUCAUGUUGUCCUUGGCCCCCCUCUCACUCCGUCUCGUGGCCUCUGGUUGCCAAGGAAGCAGGCGAUCAGUAGCAACCGUCGUCUCCGGCAACAAGACAUCCAAGUUGGUGAGGGAUAGACUGAGGAUGGAGGUGGAGAAGAUGAGGGGUCAG
ensembl:lncRNA